GUAGGUGGCAAGCGUUGUCCGGAAUUAUUGGGCGUAAAGCGCGCGCAGGCGGUUCUUUAAGUCUGAUGUGAAAGCCCACGGCUCAACCGUGGAGGGUCAUUGGAAACUGGAGAACUUGAGUACAGAAGAGGAAAGCGGAAUUCCACGUGUAGCGGUGAAAUGCGUAGAGAUGUGGAGGAACACCAGUGGCGGAGGCGGCUUUCUGGUCUGUAACUGACGCUGAGGCGCGAAAGCGUGGGGAGCAAACAGGAUUAGAUACCCUGGUAGUCCACGCCGUAAACGAUGAGUGCUAAGUGUUAGGGGGUUUUCCGCCCCCCUUAGUGCUGCAGCUAACGCAUUAAGCACUCCGCCUGGGAGUACGGCCGCAAGGCUG
rnacentral:rRNA from 1 species